GACGAACGCUGGCGGCGCGCCUAACACAUGCAAGUCGAACGAGCGAGCGCGAGCUUGCUUUCUCGCGCGAGUGGCGAACGGGUGAGUAACGCGUGAGGAACCUGCCCUAAAGAGGGGGACAACAGCUGGAAACGACUGCUAAUACCGCAUAAGCCCACGGGCCGGCAUGGAGCGGAGGGAAAAGGAGCAAUCCGCUUUUAGAUGGCCCCGCGUCCGAUUUGCUAGUUGGUGAGGUAAUGGCCCACCAAGGCGACGAGCGGUAGCCGGACUGAGAGGUUGAACGGCCACAUUGGGACUGAGACACGGCCCAGACUCCUACGGGAGGCAGCAGUGGGGAAUAUUGCACAAUGAGGGAAACCCUGAUGCAGCGACGCCGCGUGGAGGAAGAAGGUCUUCGGAUUGUAAACUCCUGUUGUUGGGGAAGAUAAUGACGGUACCCAACAAGGAAGUGACGGCUAACUACGUG
rnacentral:rRNA from 1 species